CGAUACCAAAGUACAUACAGAAGAAAGUCAUAACCUCCGUACCAUCAUCAUGGGAAACCAUACCAGAGUAAAUACAGAAGAAAGUCAUACAUACGAUGGGAAGUCAGGGCCAGAUUCAAUGAGCUUCAAAAAGAACCAGGAGUUCCUCGACCUUCUCACGAGUUUGAUGUUCCCGACAAAUACAGCAUGUACGAAGCGUGAAGCAACUAUAAAAUCAUUAUCUAGGCAAUCAACUGGCAGAUAAAUGUCCACUGUGCUCCUAUCAACGGUGACGUGAUAAAAAAAAAACAAAAAACUCUUAGACAAGGCGUGGACUUAUAUUAAUAAUAUCUACCGUACAAACGUACAAAUACGCCAUGACGUUCCUCAACCACGUUAAAUGGCAAGGUUAACAAUUGUCCCAUAUCAUGUCUGCAUGUCUUUUUGGAAAAUUUGGCUACGCCUUUGUCUGUGUUGUAUUCAAGGGAAUAAAUCUAUUAAAAAAAUGGUUGUACUAAGAACAAAUAC